CAUUGCCACUUCAGUUCCGCAACCCGCUGUGCUGUGUCGGUUACUCUAGUUUUCCUACGGAUCUCAUUUCUGAUUUGAUCACGUAGAGAAACUCCAAGCAUAGCUCUCUCCAUCGCCCGCUGAGUGACUCUGAGCCUUCCUAUGAGGUCCAAAG